CUGAGUUGUGGUUCAGUAACAAUUCACACUUCAACUUUCUCCUUCUCUUUAGGCUUCUCCAACAAACCGCCAAGAAGAAGAAAUUGGGGCCCUUGCUGUGUGGGGUCAGGACUUGCAAAGCAAAAUUGGCUCAUCAGUCCCAAGAGGCAGUCUGAGUAACUGUGGUUAAGGAGAUGAUACAUGGACCAGACUGGAUUCCAGCAGAAUGCAAAGGAUGAGAGCCUCAAGCAGCUAAAGGUCACCUGAAUUGCACCAAUUCCUGCCCUGCUUGCUACUGAGAUGCAACUGGAAAGUCCUUUGGAAGGAGGAGGCUACUUGUAUGGCAGCAUCUGAGCUGUGG